GACGAACGCUGGCGGCGUGCUUAACACAUGCAAGUCGAACGGAAAGGCCCUGCUUUUGUGGGGUGCUCGAGUGGCGAACGGGUGAGUAACACGUGAGUAACCUGCCCUUGACUUUGGGAUAACUUCAGGAAACUGGGGCUAAUACCGGAUAGGAGCUCCUGCUGCAUGGUGGGGGUUGGAAAGUUUCGGCGGUUGGGGAUGGACUCGCGGCUUAUCAGCUUGUUGGUGGGGUAGUGGCUUACCAAGGCUUUGACGGGUAGCCGGCCUGAGAGGGUGACCGGCCACAUUGGGACUGAGAUACGGCCCAGACUCCUACGGGAGGCAGCAGUGGGGAAUAUUGCCCAAUGGGCGGAAGCCUGAUGCAGCAACGCCGCGUGCGGGAUGACGGCCUUCGGGUUGUAAACCGCUUUCGCCUGUGACGAAGCGUGAGUGACGGUAAUGGGUAAAGAAGCAUCGGCUAACUACGU
rnacentral:rRNA from 1 species